rnacentral:rRNA from 1 species
UAGGGAAUAUCGGACAAUGGGGGCAACCCUGAUCCAGCCAUGCCGCGUGAGUGAAGAAGGCCCUCGGGUUGUAAAGCUCUUUUGUCCGGAAAGAAAAGCAUUCGGUGAAUACCCGGAUGUUCUGACGGUACCGGAAGAAUAAGCACCGGCUAACUUCGUGCCAGCAGCCGCGGUAAUACGAAGGGUGCAAGCGUUACUCGGAAUUACUGGGCGUAAAGCGUGUGUAGGCGGUUGUUUAAGUCUGAUGUGAAAGCCCUGGGCUCAACCUGGGAAUGGCAUUGGAAACUGGGCAGCUAGAGUGCGGUAGAGGGAAGUGGAAUUCCCGGUGUAGCAGUGAAAUGCGUAGAGAUCGGGAGGAACAUCUGUGGCGAAGGCGACUGCCUGGACCAGCACUGACACUGAGGCACGAAAGCGUGGGGAGCAAACA